AGCAAUCGAUGGCUGUGCUGAUAAGCCAUGCCCAUUAGGUUGUACAAAUCUUUCAAACAAUAUAAAACAGGAUACUGGAAUAUUUUACAACUGUGAAAAUUGCCCUGUUGGUUUUAAUCUUAGCAUUACUAAAACCAAAUGUGAAGACUUUGAUGAAUGUCAAACUUCACCAUGUGAUUCUCAUGCUGACUGUGAAAAUACUUACGGAAGUUUUUUGUGUCACUGUCAGAAUGGUUACCAAAAUGUAAACAACAGUUGUGUGGACAUAGAUGAGUGUGCUGAUAAACUAGAUAACUGUGAUCAGUUAUGUACCAACACUCCAGGAAGUUUUAAUUGUUCUUGUUAUCCUGGAUUUAAUAGCUCCAAAAAUACAUGUAUUAAAACAGAAACAGGUAUAAAUCAGUGUAAAUCAUUAAACACAACAUGCACAUAUGGCUGCAAUAAUGACACUCAAGGCUGUUUUUGUAAACAUGGAUUUAUUCUGAAAGAAAAUGGCAUUGAUUGUAUAGAUGUUGAUGAAUGUAAGAAAAACAUUUGCUCACAAAAGUGCAGUAAUAGUGAAGGGAGC